rnacentral:rRNA from 1 species
UACUCCUACGGGAGGCAGCAGUGGGGAAUUUUGGACAAUGGGGGAAACCCUGAUCCAGCCAUGCCGCGUGUGUGAAGAAGGCCUUCGGGUUGUAAAGCACUUUUGGCAGGAACGAAACGGCGCCAGCUAAUACUUGGCGCUAACGACGGUACCUGCAGAAUAAGCACCGGCUAACUACGUGCCCGCAGCCGCGGUAAUACGUAGGGUGCGAGCGUUAAUCGGAAUUACUGGGCGUAAAGCGUGCGCAGGCGGUUUCGUAAGACAGAUGUGAAAUCCCCGGGCUUAACCUGGGAACUGCAUUUGUGACUGCGAGGCUAGAGUGUGUCAGAGGGGGGUGGAAUUCCACGUGUAGCAGUGAAAUGCGUAGAGAUGUGGAGGAACACCGAUGGCGAAGGCAGCCCCCUGGGUUAACACCG